rnacentral:rRNA from 1 species
CCUACGGGAGGCAGCAGUGGGGAAUAUUGCACAAUGGGGGAAACCCUGAUGCAGCGACGCCGCGUGAGUGAAGAAGUAUUUCGGUAUGUAAAGCUCUAUCAGCAGGGAAGAAAAUUACGGUACCUGACUAAGACGCCCCGGCUAACUACGUGCCAGCAGCCGCGGUAAUACGUAGGGGGCAAGCGUUAUCCGGAUUGACUGGGUGUAAAGUGAGCGUAGUUGGCAUGGUGAGCCAGAAGUGAAAACACGAGGCUCAACACCGCGGAUUGCUUUUGGAACUAUCAGGCUGGAGUGCUGGAGGGGUAAGCGGAAUUCCUAGUGUAGCGGUGAAAUGCGUAGAUAUUAGGAGGAACACCGGUGGCGAAGGCGGCUUACUGGACAGAAACUGACACUGAGGCUCGAAAGCGUGGGGAGCAAACAGGAUUAGAUACCCGGGUAGUC